UCUGCCCCUUGAGGUGUUGCCGUCCGACUGUACGUGUUGAGCCUGUGUCAUGAGGGGCGGAGAGUGACAGGGCUAUGUCUACGCCAAGGACCCAGAACAGUGGGUACUUGGAGUGAUCAUAGCGGCAACAGU
ensembl:snoRNA